CCUACGGGAGGCAGCAGUGAGGAAUAUUGGUCAAUGGACGAAAGUCUGAACCAGCCAAGUCGCGUGAAGGAUGACUGCCCUAUGCAUUGUAAACUUCUUUUAUCUAGGAAUAAAAUGUUCCACGUGUGCGUGUUUGUAUGUACCAUAUGAAUAAGGAUCGGCUAACUCCGUGCCAGCAGCCGCGGUAAUACGGAGGAUCCGAGCGUUAUCCGGAUUUAUUGGGUUUAAAGGGAGCGUAGGUGGAUUUGUAAGUCCGGUGUGAAAGUGUGCGGCUUAACCGUCACAUUGCGGUUGAAACUGGCAGUCUUGAGUAGAGUAGAGGUAGGCGGAAUGCGGGGUGUAGCGGUGAAAUGCUUAGAUAUCACGCAGAACUCCGAUUGCGAAGGCAGCUUACUGGACUGGAACUGACACUGAGGCUCGAAAGUGUGGGUAUCAAACAGGAUUAGAUACCCCAGUAGUC
rnacentral:rRNA from 1 species